CAGCAGUCGCCACGGUAAUACGGAGGGUGCAAGCGUUAAUCGGAAUUACUGGGCGUAAAGCGCACGCAGGCGGUCUGACAAGUCAGAUGUGAAAUCCCCGGGCUUAACCUGGGAACUGCAUUUGAAACUGUCAGGCUGGAGUCUUGUAGAGGGGGGUGGAAUUCCAGGUGUAGCGGUGAAAUGCGUAGAGAUCUGGAGGAAUACCGGUGGCGAAGGCGGCCCCCUGGACAAAGACUGACGCUCAGGUGCGAAAGCGUGGGGAGCAAACAGGAUUAGAUACCCGGGUAGUCCCUGUCUCUUAUAU
rnacentral:rRNA from 1 species